AGUCGAGGGGCAGCAGGUCCGUAGCAAUACGGAUGCUGGCGACCGGCAAACGGGUGCGGAACACGUACACAACCUUCCUUUGAGCGGGGAAUAGCCCGGGGAAACCCGGAUUAAUACCUCAUAGUAUGGUGAAGAGGCAUCUCUUUACUAUUAAAGAUUUAUCACUUAAAGAUGGGUGUGCGGCUGAUUAGGUAGUUGGCGGGGUAACGGCCCACCAAGCCUACGAUCAGUAACUGGUGUGAGAGCACGACCAGUCACACGGGCACUGAGACACGGGCCCGACUCCUACGGGAGGCAGCAGUAAGGAAUAUUGGUCAAUGGACGAAAGUCUGAACCAGCCAUGCCGCGUGGAGGAUGAAGGUCCUCUGGAUUGUAAACUUCUUUUAUAUGGGACGAAAAAAGGCUUUUCCAGGUCGUCUGACGGUACCAUAUGAAUAAGCACCGGCUAACUCCGUGCCAGCAGCCGCGGUAAUACGGAGGGUGCAAGCGUUAUCCGGAUUCACUGGGUUUAAAGGGUGCGUAGGUGGGUUAGUAAGUCAGUGGUGAAAUCCCCGAGCUUAACUUGGGAACUGCCAUUGAUACUAUUAAUCUUGAAUACCGUGGAGGUCAGCGGAAUAUGUCAUGUAGCGGUGAAAUGCUUAGAUAUGACAUAGAACACCAAUUGCGAAGGCAGCUGGCUACGCGAAUAUUGACACUGAUGCACGAAAGCGUGGGGAUCAAACAGGAUUAGAUACCCUGGUAGUCCACGCCCUAAACUAUGGAUACUCGACAUCAGCGAUACACUGUUGGUGUCUGAGCGAAAGCAUUAAGUAUCCCACCUGGGAAGUACGAUCGCAGAU
rnacentral:rRNA from 1 species